GCAGAGGAAACCACAAUGAGAUGGUAAAUAUGUUAGGGGAAGCAGACAAAGUGUGAGGAGGGAGACUUGAAGCCCAUGAGACCCUGGGAGAACUGAUUGAGAGUUCAGAUAAGUACCCAUAGUGAUCCCCACAACAGUUCUAGCAAAGACUGGAUUUUAGGGAAGAUGAGAGUGGGAAGAAGUCCGUUUUCUCUCUGCUUGGGCUCCUCCUGCAGAGUGAAUAAGAAGAAUAAGUGAAUACGAGAAGUUGGGCAUCCAGGUCCUCACAAUGCCAUCUUUCUUGUCCUGUUUAACCAGUGCCAGCCCUCCACAGAAGGGUCACUUCAUGACUUUCUAUGUGCCAGAGAACUUUGCUGUUAAAGUCUGCGCAGGAGGGAUGAGGAUUCAGAGCGCAGUUGUUAACACAACUGCAUUUCUAGGAAGUCACCUGGACAGUUUCAUAAAGAAAACUUGCUUCCCUUUCCCUUUUUAAAUUUUUUAAAUGUUAAAAAUUGUUUUUAAAAUUUUUAUUAAAGCUUUUUAUUUGCAAAACAUAUGCAUGGAUAAUUUUUCAACAUUGACCCUUACAAAACCUUAUCUUCCAAAAUUUUCUACCCUUUCUGACUAUUUUUAAUAAAAGAGCAAAUCAACUA